AAACCUCAAAGCAGGGGAAAUUACCCCCCUAAUUUAAGCAUAUCAAUAAGCGGAGGA
rnacentral:rRNA from 1 species